UGUACCUCGCCAUGGACCCUCUUGAUCCCAGCCUGUAGGCUGGCUUCACCUCAGGCCUGUCUCAUCACUACAGAUCUGCCCAGCGAUCACUGGGAUGCGUCUUCCCCCAGUUACCGUCACUGGACCUGAUCCAACCAGAGCACCACUGCCCCCAGAACCUCGGGGGUGGAAAUCUUGGAGGCUUGGAAAUCUGCCUGGAGGAAUGAUUUGAUCCUGAGACAGUUCUACUUUCUGGCCACAAAGCCGUACCAUCCCUCCACCGACUGGCAGCAAUGAAGGUGUCAGCAAUACUCUUCAUCCUACUGGGCAGCUUUUUGGCUACGGUGGGCUUGCAGCACGGAGGAUUAGGAAGGUGAGAACCCUGCACUUGAUUUUGUUUUACGGGGAACUCGAGUAGAGUCCAGGAUGGUUACCGGUGCUGCUGAGGUGAUGUUCUGCAAUGUCCUGUAUACUAGCUGGAGUUUCUGAAGUGCUGGGAGCUUCCUUCCCAGCUGCAUCGCAUUGGUGUACUUCAACUGAGAGGUGACGAAGGCAUGAAUAAUUGCGGCCAGGUCAUACACCAGAAUGGGACAGAAAUGGUAAGAAGUCACCUGGAGAUGAUGAAAAGCAUUACUCAGACUGGUAAGUGAGAGCUCAGUGUCAACAAUGCAUCCAAAAAUACUCUCGAGUUACUGCCUGAACUGACCGCUUCUGCAUCACCUCUACGUUGUUGGCACUUGAGUGUUUACUGUCAGACGUCUGUCCACCGACGGGUAUGGGACCUUGUCAGUGAAAGGUCCAGCAGUGGAGGAACACGGUCCCAUUACUGUGAAAGAGAUGUCCCCCUUCAGAAAGCAUUCAAAGCCUCGUAGCGUAUUAUCCUGCCCAUUCCUGUACGGAAGGCAGUGGGAUCCCAGGGUUACAAGUUUAAGCAUGAAGUGACUCUGGAGAAUGAGAACAGAUGCCUCCCUCCUACCUACUGAGAGGAGGAGACCAAUUAAUCGCUGCCAGUAAAACUGCUUCAUCUCUAUGCCUUGGCCUAAAUUUGUGCUGAACUGCGAAUAUUAGCUUCAGACAGACGCGCUUGGAGGUGGCCUUCGGGCAGCUGCUCUGUGGACUCUCACAGGAAUGGGGAGGUUUGGCCAUGAACAGUAGCUGGAUAACCUGAUGUGCCACAAGCGGGAAUCUUCAGGAUUUGCCCGAUGACUGCGCGUUUGAGAGUUAAAUAGAUGUCUGUGAGGAAUGACAAAGGCAUUGAUCAUACAGUAUUGGUCAGUGUAAGUCACUUCUUACAACCUUUUCAUGAGACUGGCAGGGUAUCAGGCAGAUUUGUGGGUAUUAAGUCCUUCUGGAUGUUUAGAGCUUCUUGAUAAUGAAAAAUUUGUGCUCAUGAACAGUGUUUGGUAAAUAUUAGUACAGCAGUGUAAGAACAGUAAGCUUUGCAGCUUUCAAUAUUCAGUUCUAGUGUAGAUUAUGAGGGCUCAGAGUCGGUGGAAUAUCUUAAUGCCAUGGACGACUUCUUGAAGUUGACUUGGCGGAUUCAGUGGAGGAAGAUAAGAAUAACACAGCCUGUGAUACGAUCACAGCAUGAGCUCUAAGGAGGUUCUUAAUUUCAUCCUCCCUGUAUCAGCCUUUGCUAUCAGUAUUUGAGUUUCCAAUAGGACAUCAGAAAGCCAGAGAGCUGUGAAGAGAGGAGGAUCAUUUGAGUCUGCUGCUGCAAGCUAACAUGCAGCACUAACGACCAGGUCCUCCUCCCAGCAGGGUGAAGCACUGCUGUCUAUUAGGCUUUGGAACUUCGUCAGUGUUCGUGAAUCGUUGACUGCAUCAGGAUUACUGAUGUUUUUUGUUGCCAGGGAGUUACAAGAUAGUGUGUGCUGCCUGAAGGCGGUGGGGGACUAAGAGCAAGAUUUUAAUUUUCUUGGCCUUGUAGUCUAGAAGAUAAGGGUUGCUUUUAGCCAUUUGAGAAUUUUGUGUCCUGCCAUAACUUACGUAUGUUCAGUGCUUACAGUUCAGAGACAACUCUCCUAAAUACUCCACACCCAACAAUCAAGGAUUUGCCUGAACCUAAACCACAGAGAUUAAAUCUAGAGUCUAGGGAAGGGUUUCCGAACCUGACCUCACUGUAGAGUUUCACAAAGUUCAACACCCUUGCACACCAGACUCUGGAUCAGAUUUCUUACACGUGGCGCUCUGACCAAGGCAGCAUACAGAGAGGGCAGGGGGGGGAAAAAAAAUCACCUUUCUUCUACUCACUGCUCCUGCAUGCUAUCGAAAUGCUACAAAUGGUUUUGCAGCCCACAUUUUGUAAAAGGUAUUGGCAUGUUUUGAGAGGCCUAGAAAAUUGUAAAAAAGUUUGAAGAGUGAAGAAAAUGCCAUGUAUAAUGAAUUUGAAGAGUUUAUCUACUUGUCAAUGCUUAAUCCACUUUUUGAUAAGCCUUGAUUAGCAUGUAAAAUACUGUAUGUUUUUGGUUUAGCAGGGGAGGGUAUAAGAACCACUGUUUGAAAGCUGAAGUCAGACAAGUUCAAAUCGGAGUGUUAAGUAUGUAUUUUAUUGUUGUCAGUGAGCAACCAGAGGAACAGACUGCUAAGUGGUGACUUCUCCGUCCUAUCUUCUGACCGAGGCUGGGUGACUUUGGGAGAUAAACUUUAGUCAAAUACACAAUACUGAGCAGGAGGACACUGGUGAAAUGUAAUGGCCUAUGAAGUACAGAAGGUCAGACUAGAUCUAGUGCUGGUCUAGCUUGCCUCUUUUGGAGGCAAUUGGGACCUGUGUGCCUUAUGCUUUCCCAAAAGCACAUCCUUCACGUGACAAAAAUGAAGGGGUUCUCCACCUAAGUGUGAGGCUUGGGGCAGGGACAGCCUGUGUAUUGGUGCAGAUCGGAAUGUGUCCAUCCACGUGGGGCAGCACGUGGGGCUGUAAGCCACCCCAGCACUUUCAGACCGACAGUGCCAUCCUGACCAGGGCUUGCAGAGCCUCACAGCUCCGUCUCAAGCAGGGCUCCAGCACACACUGCCACACAAGCUGCUUUGGCCACUGUUGCUUUGCACCGGGGUGAAUUAUCCCUGGACAGCCGUUUAGUAAAGUGGCAUGGCACCAAGUGGCCUUCCUCUGCAGGAACUGGAGGUGGUCACAGAGGCAAGAGCCUAGCUGGCUGCUCUGCAAGGUGAUUUGUUUGCUUGCUAUUGUCUGCUCCUGUUUCUGCUAAAACUCAGCUGGAGUCGCUCUUGCCCCAGCCUCUGGUAUCUUGCUUUUGUGUGAGACAACAAAGUUCAGCUCCUGUGACCAAACGUAAGCAUCCUUAGUUCUACAUCCAACUACGAUAUUGGGAAGAGUUGUUCAAGACACUGGUGCAAAUCUUCCUUUUUUUGGGACUUCAGACUUAAUAGGCUAGCAAAUGUUGGGAGUGGUAUUUUAUUGGCAAAGGAAAGGAUGAGGUGAUAAGUUAUAAUAUUGCAAAACAUUCUACAGAAAUGCUUUUCAGUUGCUUUAAAAAUUCUGGCACUACAGCAUCAUGUAUUCAUGGAGAUGAAUGUACUUUCUUCUAUACUCUUGUUUGCAAUAUGAAGUAAUGAAGGAAAUACAGUAUAUAUCCGAAAUCAUCUGAAUUACAAUUGUUAGCAGUCUUACACUUUUUUUACACUACAUGUACAGAAAUAAAUUUGCCCUUAUUUGGAGGGGAGGGGAAAAUUGAACUUUUGUUGAUAAUUAUUUUUAUAUUUUGUGUAUGCAAAAAGAAACUUCUGUCUAUUGUAGAAAUCUAUCAAGCAGUUACUAACCCUUAGUUUUACCACAACGUAACUGAAUAGCUAUACAGACAAUCUUUUUUCUUUAUGAUUAUGUGGUACAAAACUUCCAUUCAAUAUUGUUCUUUUACACUGCACUGCAUAAAGACUGGUUUAUCAAGA